GAAAUUAUAGUCGCCUAAAUGGCGAUUUUUUUAUAGCCGAAAAUCAGCAAAUCAAACCCUUUAAAGGGGUACAUCAAUUUG
rnacentral:ncRNA from 19 species